rnacentral:ncRNA from 1 species
UUAAAAACUGUGAUAAAGAGGAGUAAGGAUUAGGAAGUAUUAAGAGAGGAAGGUCUUGGCUGAAAGCCUUCUAUAUGGAAUAUCCUGAAGGUAGCUUUUGAGUUUCUUUGCUGAAAGUAUAGCAAUUAGUAGGCAAAGACGGCGUUCAUAGCCGUUAUUGAAUUAAGAGCCCAUAAUAAUGGCCAGUAUUUGUUUAGUAUAGUUUAAACUUUUAAAUGCUAAAAUAAUAUUGUGCUUGUGGGAAUAAAGGUGGUACCGCGAGUCUUCGUCCUUUUU